GAUAAACGCUGGCGGCGUGCAUAAAACAUGCAAGUCGAACGGAUGGCUUCGGCCAUCAGUGGCGGACGGCUGAGUAACACGUAAGUGACCUACCCUCUAGUGGGGAAUAACUGCUCGAAAGAGUGGCUAAUACCGCAUGAGCCCGCCCGUUCGCUCGGGCGAUGAAAGCAGCGAUGCGCUGGAGGAUGGGCUUGCGGCCGAUUAGCUAGUUGGCGGGGUAAGGGCCCACCAAGGCGAUGAUCGGUAGCUGGUCUGAGAGGAUGAUCAGCCAGACUGGGACUGCGACACGGCCCAGACUCCUACGGGAGGCAGCAGUUAGGAAUUUUGCGCAAUGGCCGAAAGGCUGACGCAGCAACGCCGCGUGGAGGACGAAGGCCCUCGGGUCGUAAACUCCUUUUCUGGGGGAAGAUGGUGACGGUACCCCAGGAAUAAGCCCCGGCUAACUACGUGCCAGCAGCCGCGGUAACAC
rnacentral:rRNA from 1 species